rnacentral:sRNA from 1 species
GAACAAGAUGUCUAUAGCCCAGUGAGUAGUGUUCACUGUUCGCGAUGUCCCUAUCCUAGUGAGUAGUGUUCACCGAUCGGGGUGCUUCCAGCCCAGUGAGUAGUGUUCACCACUCAAGCGAACCAUGGUCCCCGAAGCCUUCCGAUGUGCUUGUAUAAUCGGAAGGUCUCAGGUACUAAGCCAUACCAGCCGUCCCUUGCUCAGUGAUUAGCGUUCAUCGAUCAGAGUGUUAUCCAGCACUUUGAGUGGUGUUCACCGAUCAAGCGUACCAUGUAUGCACAAUCGGAAGGCCUUGGAACUAUAGGCUGAACAAGACGUCCUUAGCCCAGUGAGUAGUGUUUACUAGUCGUGAUGUCCCUAUUCUAGUGAAAAGUGCUCACCAAUCAAGCGCACCCUGGUUCCCAAAGCCUUCCGAUGUGCUUGUACAAUCGGAAGGCCUCAAGAACUAAGCCAUACCAGCCGUUCCUUGCUCAGUGAUUAGCGUUUACCAAUCAGGGUGUGAUCCAGCACAGUGAGUAGUGUUCACUGAUCAAGCAUACCAUGUAUGCACAAUCGGAAGGCCUCGGAACUAUAAGCUAAACCAGACAUCCUCAGCCCACUGAUCAGGUAUGCCCUGGUCUCCGAGGUCUUCUGAUGUGCUUGCAUAAUCGGAAGGUCUUAUAUUUCACUUAACUCCAUCAUUAUUGAAGAUAUGAGAAUGAAGCUAUCGUCCUAAAUCCUUUGUGGAAUAAACUGCAUUGUUCGAAACGCAAUUAAAAAUUGUUACAGC